UACGUAGGGGGCUAGCGUUGUCCGGAAUCAUUGGGCGUAAAGCGCGCGUAGGCGGCCCGGUAAGUCCGCUCUGAAAGUCCAGGGCUCAACCCUGGAAAGCGGGUGGAUACUGCCGGGCUAGAAUCCGGAAGAGGCGAGUGGAACUCCUGGUGUAGCGGUGGAAUGCGCAGAUAUCAGGAAGAACACCAAUAGCGAAGGCAGCUCGCUGGGACGGUAUUGACGCUAAGGCGCGAAAGCGUGGGGAGCGAACAGG
rnacentral:rRNA from 1 species